rnacentral:lncRNA from 1 species
CAAUUGGUGCCGUUGCUGCUGUUCGAUGUGCCAGGAGAAGAUUAUUACGAAGUUACCGACAUUGUGCGAACGAAA